GCACACCGAUAGCUCAGUCAGUAGAGCAGGCGACUCUUAAUUUCAGCAUCGUGAGUUCAAGUCCCACAUUGGGCA